GAUGAACGCUGGCGGCGUGCCUAAUACAUGCAAGUCGAGCGAACAGACGAGGAGCUUGCUCCUCUGACGUUAGCGGCGGACGGGUGAGUAACACGUGGAUAACCUACCUAUAAGACUGGGAUAACUUCGGGAAACCGGAGCUAAUACCGGAUAAUAUAUUGAACCGCAUGGUUCAAUAGUGAAAGACGGUUUUGCUGUCACUUAUAGAUGGAUCCGCGCCGCAUUAGCUAGUUGGUAAGGUAACGGCUUACCAAGGCGACGAUGCGUAGCCGACCUGAGAGGGUGAUCGGCCACGCGGGAACUGAGACACGGUCCAGACUCGGACGGGAGGCAGCAGUAGGGAAUCUUCCGCAAUGGGCGAAAGCCUGACGGAGCAACGCCGCGUGAGUGAUGAAGGUCUUCGGAUCGUAAAACUCUGUUAUUAGGGAAGAACAAAUGUGUAAGUAACUAUGCACGUCUUGACGGUACCUAAUCAGAAAGCCACGGCUAACUACGU
rnacentral:rRNA from 1 species